CCCACCUCGCAACUCGUCGCCUGGGCAGACGGGGGCCUGGGUCUGGCCCAGGGUCUCCCUGUACUUAGCUGCUCUGACACCACCCAGCCAUGAGAAUUGCUGACCUUCAACCGUAAAACCAGGAUGACAAAGAACUAGGAUGACCGAGACCAGGAUGACCCACACUGGACCAACACUUGACCAGUUUCAAGAUCCAUAUCGAAAUGACUGUGCUGGACUGCAGGAACUAACUUUAGAAGAUACAGACUUUGACCUUCAGUCAUCCCAGUUCGAGGAGAAUUGCUGACCAUAAAAUCAAGAUAACCAAGACCAGGAUGACCCGCACUGGAUUGUCACUUGACCAGUUUCAAGAUCCUUAAUGGAAUGGACCAUGCUGGACUGCACGUAGACAACUUUUCAACUCCCUCCCCUUGAUUAUUUUGUUCUGCUUUGCCUCUCCCUCUUUGUAAAAACCUCUGCCUGCACUGAGAUGUUGAGAUGGGCUUUGUGACAAGCAUUCCCCAUCUCCUCAGGUGACCAGCACUUGAAUAAAACCUCUUUCCUUUUUUCUGCAUCUGUCCAAUGAGUUUGGUUUUUGUGCAGCAGGCAGCAGAACUUGGGUUCUGGU